rnacentral:rRNA from 1 species
UACAGGAGGUCCCAAGCGUUGUUCGGAUUCAUUGGGCGUAAAGGGGUGUGUAGGUGGCGCCGUAAGUCGGGUGUGAAAUUUCGGAGCUUAACUCCGGAAACUGCAUUCGAUACUGCGGUGCUUGAGGACUGGGAGAGGAGACUGGAAUUCAUGGUGUAGCAGUGAAAUGCGUAGAUAUCUGGAGGAACACCGGUGGCGAAGGCGGCAUCCUGGACCGACACUGACGCUGAGGCGCGAAAGCGUGGGGAGCAACAGG